UACGGGGGGGGCAAGCGUUGUUCGGAAUUACUGGGCGUAAAGGGCUCGUAGGCGGCCAACUAAGUCAGACGUGAAAUCCCCCGGCUUAACCGGGGAACUGCGUCUGAUACUGGAUGGCUUGAGGUUGGGAGAGGGAUGCGGAAUUCCAGGUGUAGCGGUGAAAUGCGUAGAUAUCUGGAGGAACACCGGUGGCGAAGGCGGCAUCCUGGACCAAUUCUGACGCUGAGGAGCGAAAGCCAGGGGAGCAAACGGG
rnacentral:rRNA from 1 species